AAGGAACUGUACAACAGCCUCAAGCCAGUGUCCUGUAUGAGGAUUUGCUUAUGUCUGAAGGAGAAGAUGAUGAGGAAGAUGCUGGGAGUGAUGAAGAAGGAGACAAUCCUUUCUCUGCUAUCCAGCUGAGUGAAAGUGGAAGUGACUCUGAUGUAGGAUCUGGUGGAAUAAGACCCAAACAACCCCGCAUGCUUCAGGAGAACACAAGGAUGGACAUGGAAAAUGAAGAAAGCAUGAUGUCCUAUGAGGGAGACGGUGGGGAGGCUUCCCAUGGUUUGGAGGAUAGCAACAUCAGGUAAUCGGCAGCAACAUGCUACAGGGCUGUGGCAUCAGUGCCCAGCUAUGAUGUUGAGGGGCCCAGCAUCAGAUUACUUUUCAUCCAUCAAACAUUUCCUGGGCACCUACUAGGGCCAGGCACUGUGCUAGGCCCUGGGGAUACACAGAGGAACAAA
rnacentral:sRNA from 1 species